GGGGCUGACAAGCUUCGACGUAAGGACUUUGACACGCUACUUGGCACGCCGGGUUGAUCUACACGUCAGAUGGAUCACCACAAUACGUGCAAACGUACGAGAUAAGGUAGCUGGCGUUGCGGCCAGUGUUGCGAAUACGUUCGCGCCGGCCCAACCGGCUGCCGUUACCGUCGCGGCUUAACUACCGCGACCAUCGGUUCCGUGACGCCCAGUAGCGGUUCACCGGUGGCAUAUCACUGGGUGUAGGCAAACGUGACGCCGGGAAUGCUUGCUGAAUCCAAUUCCGGCUCGCCGGAUGCAUGACCGGGGCGUCAAACCCCAAGCCGUGCAUCCGCGUUAAACCUUCAGGCUGAAUUUGACUACGCGUGUAGAAAAGUAGCGGGUUAACUUGCGGACCGGGGUGCAAAUCCCCGCAGCUCCACCA
rnacentral:tmRNA from 1 species